rnacentral:rRNA from 1 species
GUUAGUCGAGCGUCUCCAAGCUAUGAUGGAGGCGCGGCAUACAGCUCAGUAACACGUGGCUAACCUGCCCUUGGGACAAGGCACAACCUCGGGAAACUGAGGCUAAUCCUUGAUAGGUGAGAAAUCCUGGAAUGGAUUCUUGCUCAAAAGAUGCUUAAAUCAUGCUUCUAGGCAUCGCCCAAGGAGGGGGCCGCGGCCGAUCAGGUUGUUGGUGAGGUAACGGCUCACCAAGCCUCUGACCGGUACGGGCCGUGAGAGCGGAAGCCCGGAGAUGGGCACUGAGACAAUGGCCCAGGCCCUACGGGGCGCAGCAGUCGCGAAAACUCCGCAAUACACGAAAGUGUGACGGGGCUAUCCCGAGUGCCAUCCGCUGAGGAUAGCUUUUCCCCAGUGUAUAAAGCUGGGAGAAUAAGGAGAGGGCAAGGCUGGUGCCAGCCGCCGCGGUAAAACCAGCUCUUCAAGUGGUCGGGGUAAUUAUUGGGCUUAAAGUGUCCGUANCCGGUUUAGUAAGUUCCUGGUAAAAUCGGGUAGCUUAACUAUCUAUAUGCUAGGAAUACUGCUGUACUAGAGGGCGGGAGAGGUCUGAGGUACUACAGGGGUAGGGGUGAAAUCUUAUAAUCCUUGUAGGACCACCAGUGGCGAAGGCGUC